GUGAGUUCCUGCAUGGCAGGCAGUUGGACUGGAUGGCCCUUGUGGCCUCUUCCAACUCUAUGAUUCUUUGACUACUAACUUCUACCUAAAAAGUAGAUGCAAAGCAGAACAGAGGGAUCAUGCUGUGGAGCUAAGAAUGAAAAAUAUGCCUCCAAAAAGACAUCUGAAGUUAUUUCUACCAAAGAGCGUCCCAAAAGACUCAUGUGCGUUGGACCUGGCUUGGUGUAAGACACUCUUCUUUAAUUUGGCACCUGACCAAUGUGUUGGACUCCAUUCAUUUUGGCUGGGAAUUAUGGGUGUUAUAAUUCAGUACU